rnacentral:rRNA from 1 species
UACGUAGGGGGCGAGCGUUGUCCGGAUUUAUUGGGCGUAAAGAGCUCGUAGGCGGUUUCGUUAGUCGGGUGUGAAAACCCCAGGCUCAACCUGGGGACGCCACCCGAUACUGCGAUGACUAGAGUCCGGUAGGGGAGUGUGGAAUUCCUGGUGUAGCGGUGAAAUGCGCAGAUAUCAGGAGGAACACCAACGGCGAAGGCAGCACUCUGGGCCGGAACUGACGCUGAGGAGCGAAAGCGUGGGUAGCGAACAGG